GUUUUUGAAGCUGAAGGCACUACGAAAGAAAAAUUACAUGUCAUCUGCCUUGUUCAUCUGCAACUCCCAAAGUCUUACUGGAGCGGUCCUGAUCCUGUUCCCUAGAGAACGGAAGAUGGAGGACAAUGGUACUGAAGUCAGCAGUCACAUCGAUGUAACCCUGAGCUGAGGUCACAGAGAUGACAAAAAAAAAAGGCCUUGCUCUGACAGGUGUAACACCAGGACUGAGGCUUAUACCCCCAUGCCCUGGUUGCUGCAGCUGUUUCACAACAUUAGUGUCUUUA